rnacentral:lncRNA from 1 species
CUUAGAAUUAGAGAAAUACAAUAGUUCUAUAAUAUAAAUUAGAAAUAGAGGGUUUAAUGAGUCAAAUUUAUGAUACUUGGUAAGUAUAUCAGAAUGUCUUCUAAAAGGAUUUUAUUGCUAUUUUCUACAGUUUUGCUAUCUUGAGAUUUGACUUCUUUUGAUUUUUAAUAGUUUUAAUAAAUGCAAAUCUUUUCUCAUUAUUAUUUUAAUUUAGCUAUUCUACUCUUCAUACGUGAAGGAGUUUGGGUAUAAAAAGAACAAAAGGCAACAUUUGAAGAUAUCUCAGAAACCAUUCAAAAGGAAAAACCUUGAUGAUUAGUCAGUAAUUUAGGAGGGAAAAAGUGAAAGGAAUGUUGACGGACACCACUCUCCUCCCCUGAUGACAACUCUUGAUGCAUCCCUACUGUGGCAAGCCAGGAAAUAAUUCCAUGGGAAGUCAAUCAAUGAAAGUUAACAAGAUCAUUACUAGCAAAAAAGGUAAUAUUUUUCAUUUUCAAAAAGUAAAGGGUUGGGUUGGAUGAGAAGUAGAUAUAGGAGACAGAGCAGCAUUCUCAGGUGUUGUUCAUGCCCCUGCCAUUGUUUUAAUUGUGGCCGCAAUAUUGUUUCUCAUGGCUGAUGGUUGACUUUGGUGAGUAGAAGUAGGUAGUAGCUAAGAAUGAUCAUGAAAAAAUAGAACAUUUUCUU